rnacentral:tRNA from 1 species
UUGCAUUAGAAUUAGAAUCUAAUUACACUAAAAUUACCCCCUCUAAUUCAUUAAUAACUAUU